UACAGAGGAGCCAAGCGUUGUCCGGAUUGACUGGGCGUAAAGCGCACGCAGGCGGCACCGCGCGUGGGGUGUGAAAUCUGGCCGCUUAACGGCCAGGCGCCAUCCCAUACGGCGGAGCUGGAGUGAUGCAGAGGUCGAUGGAAUUGCCGGUGUAGUGGUGAAAUGCGUAGAGAUCGGCAGGAACACCAGUGGCGAAGGCGGUUGCCUGGAGCUUUGCUGACGCUGAUGCGCGAAAGCGUGGGGAGCGAUCCGG
rnacentral:rRNA from 1 species